GGGGAAUUUUGGACAAUGGGGGCAACCCUGAUCCAGCAAUGCCGCGUGCAGGAAGAAGGCCUUCGGGUUGUAAACUGCUUUUGUCAGGGAAGAAAUCCUGUGGGUUAAUACCUCGUGGGGAUGACGGUACCUGAAGAAUAAGCACCGGCUAACUACGUGCCAGCAGCCGCGGUAAUACGUAGGGUGCGGGCGUUAAUCGGAAUUACUGGGCGUAAAGCGUGCGCAGGCGGUUUUGUAAGACAGAGGUGAAAUCCCCGGGCUCAACCUGGGAACUGCCUUUGUGACUGCAAGGCUGGAGUACGGCAGAGGGGGAUGGAAUUCCGCGUGUAGCAGUGAAAUGCGUAGAUAUGCGGAGGAACACCGAUGGCGAAGGCAAUCCCCUGGGCCUGUACUGACGCUCAUGCACGAAAGCGUGGGGAGCAAAC
rnacentral:rRNA from 1 species